GUCCUCGUAGCUCAGCUGGUAGAGCUCGCGCGUUCCAAAAGCAGGUGGCGUCCACGCGUGGGUUUAAAUCCCACCAAGGCUA
rnacentral:tRNA from 1 species